rnacentral:lncRNA from 1 species
UGGUACAUAACAGGUCACCCAAAUUGUUUAACAUUUCCUGGAUAUCAGCAUACAUGGAAUCCAGGUUUGCAAGAAGUGCCUAAACAAAACCAACCAGAAUCACAUCAAAUGCACAGCCAACUCAUGUAAAAAGGAAUAGAUAGCUUGUAAGAAUUAAAUUUUAAGUGCUCUUGCAAUCUUGCACACACAGAAAAUGAUCCUACAUGAGAAGAUUAAGAAGCACGAACCUUCUAUUAAGAACAUCUUCAUCUGGUCCGCUAUGACUAUCAAGAUUGUUUCCAAUCUGAAUAAGAAAAUGACAAUAGUUAUUCGCAUUGCUAUUGAAAUUAGUCACUUAAUCUGAAAAGAACAUGUAGAAACACUCACAUGAUUGGCGAACCAAAGAACGAAUUCUCUAUGUACUUUUUUGUCUAGCUCAGAAGCAUUCCUUCCCCUCAUUUGUCUCUUUACAAUAGUUCUAUAUUGCCUACAUAGUUAAAUAUAUCAUGACAGAAGGGAGAGAUUGUAAAAAAGUGAAGAGAAGUGAAAGGCANNNNNNNNNNNNNNNNNNNNNNNNNNNNNNNNNNNNNNNNNNNNNNNNNGUGUCUGAAUGACAUUUGUAGCAGUGUUUGAUGAUCUAAAACAGACAACAAAACAAGCCUAAUUAAUACAUGAAUAAAACAGUCCCAAAAUUCCUGCAUAAAUCAAAAUCUCAAAUCCCCAAAAGUCAUUCUCUGGAAGCACAAGAGUAAUGUUGCAAAAGCUCCCUAAAUAUAAUAUCCAACUUAUUGCUGUAAGACAACUUACUUUUGAAAACCAAACCUAAUUGUAUUUUAGAAAGUAACCCAGUUGGAUAAUCAAAGCAAGGAGCAAGUAAAGGAAGUAAAAAUUAUAAACGGAAUAAUAAACACAAACACACAAUACUCAAGUAUGAUGGAAAAACAAAAGGACGUGGCUGAGUAGCAUAAAUCAAUUAGCAGCAGUAACUCUUAAUUUUUUCAACUCCUUGCAAAAACUAAGUCAUGCCAAUUGCCAAUUAUUCCAUAAAAACAUAACAGGAAAUGCCUACAAGAUAAGAAAGAAUCACAANNNNNNNNNNNNNNNNNNNNNNNNNNNNNNNNNNNNNNNNNNNNNNNNNNNUGCCAAAGAAUAGUAUCAGUUUUACUUAUGAUAUAUACUAAGCAUUAGACACAUUUUCUAAUUCUACCAAAUGCUAACUAAAGACAAACAAAAGGGUAUGCUCUAAGCUAAAGAAAAACAAAACUUCUAUACUCACAAUAAAUGGUGUCUGACAAUACAUCACGUUCAAUUUAAAUUUUCCACAUGCUAACUUAAGGGUUCAAGAAACCAACCAUAUUAUUUCAAACUUUACCUUCUCGCAUGACAAAUAGAAAAUUCCUUUGAUUAAAGCAACCAAUCCUUAGUGCCAUUGAGUUUGUAAUAUAUCCUGAAAGUUAUGAUAAUAAUCAUUACAUGUGAAUUGGUAAAAAGUCUUAAAACACAAGGGAACUAAGAAACCAUCCAACAACUUAUAGUUAGCAAACAAGCACAACAACUUUCAAGAACUAUCAAAUAAAGAGUAUGCAAUCCAACAAAAAUAUAUUAUAAACUUACAUAACCAUCAAAAGUGGUAAUUCAGAUUUAGAAUGCUUUCCUACAUGUUCCCAAUCUCUAUAUCCAAAACAUGUACAUACACGGGAGAGUUUCCAACAAUCAGAAUGGCAAAGAUAAAAUUAGGGAUUUCAGCUAUUUCAAAGACAAAUUUCCACGAGAGUAUGACUCUAUUUGACAAAAAUUAGCGGAUAUUGAAAAGUAGAUUAAAGUACCUUACCAAAAGCACCCCUUUAUACCUUAUUUCAUCUAUUUAACUAGAAUAAAUUAUCACUGAUGUUAAAUAAGUUACUGAUAACUAAAUGUGUGGAGAAAUCUACAAGCAUCAAGAACGUGGGAAACAAUUGUCUAAUCGCAAAUUCUGGACAGAACUACCAGAUUCCAAAUCGAAGCUUAGAAACCACAGUAUUACACAUCAUAGAAAAUUGAGAUUGAGAUAAACAUAGUUCGGAUCUACUUACUGAAGAAAUAGGGAUACAUAUUGAUUAAGACAUGAACGUGAUGAUGGCGGCAACAACGAAGAGAACUGUUGAAAAACCCUUGAAAACUCUGAAAGCAAACUGAAGCAAAACAAAAGGAAAAUUAGAAUCAGAAUCUAUUGAAGAAUGAGAAGACUAGAAUCGAAAGGAAAACCGAUUUAACCUUGAAAACUCUG